rnacentral:tRNA from 1 species
ACUUUUAAAGGAAAACAGACAUCCACUGGUCUUAGGAGCCACCAUUCU